AUACGUACGUGACAGGGCAGAUAGCAUGACCACAAAGGUGGUACUCCCAGGGCGAGGCCUAUUCAUUGCACUCUGAAUGUACUGAUCCCUGCAAUUUCUCCAAAUGUGGGAAACUUGACUGCAUAAUUUGUGGUAGUUGGGGACUGUGUUCACACUUUCGCCUG
ensembl:snRNA U1 U1 spliceosomal RNA